rnacentral:rRNA from 1 species
GGGUUGUGAGGUUAAGCGACUAAGCGUACACGGUGGAUGCCCUGGCAGUCAGAGGCGAUGAAGGACGUGCUAAUCUGCGAUAAGCGUCGGUAAGGUGAUAUGAACCGUUAUAACCGGCGAUUUCCGAAUGGGGAAACCCAGUGUGUUUCGACACACUAUCAUUAACUGAAUCCAUAGGUUAAUGAGGCGAACCGGGGGAACUGAAACAUCUAAGUACCCCGAGGAAAAGAAAUCAACCGAGAUUCCCCCAGUAGCGGCGAGCGAACGGGGAGCAGCCCAGAGCCUGAAUCAGUGUGUGUGUUAGUGGAAGCGUCUGGAAAGGCGCGCGAUACAGGGUGACAGCCCCGUACACAAAAAUGCACAUGCUGUGAGCUCGAUGAGUAGGGCGGGACACGUGGUAUCCUGUCUGAAUAUGGGGGGACCAUCCUCCAAGGCUAAAUACUCCUGACUGACCGAUAGUGAACCAGUACCGUGAGGGAAAGGCGAAAAGAACCCCGGCGAGGGGAGUGAAAAAGAACCUGAAACCGUGUACGUACAAGCAGUGGGAGCACGCUUAGGCGUGUGACUGCGUACCUUUUGUAUAAUGGGUCAGCGACUUAUAUUCUGUAGCAAGGUUAACCGAAUAGGGGAGCCGAAGGGAAACCGAGUCUUAACUGGGCGUUAAGUUGCAGGGUAUAGACCCGAAACCCGGUGAUCUAGCCAUGGGCAGGUUGAAGGUUGGGUAACACUAACUGGAGGACCGAACCGACUAAUGUUGAAAAAUUAGCGGAUGACUUGUGGCUGGGGGUGAAAGGCCAAUCAAACCGGGAGAUAGCUGGUUCUCCCCGAAAGCUAUUUAGGUAGCGCCUCGUGAAUUCAUCUCCGGGGGUAGAGCACUGUUUCGGCAAGGGGGUCAUCCCGACUUACCAACCCGAUGCAAACUGCGAAUACCGGAGAAUGUUAUCACGGGAGACACACGGCGGGUGCUAACGUCCGUCGUGAAGAGGGAAACAACCCAGACCGCCAGCUAAGGUCCCAAAGUCAUGGUUAAGUGGGAAACGAUGUGGGAAGGCCCAGACAGCCAGGAUGUUGGCUUAGAAGCAGCCAUCAUUUAAAGAAAGCGUAAUAGCUCACUGGUCGAGUCGGCCUGCGCGGAAGAUGUAACGGGGCUAAACCAUGCACCGAAGCUGCGGCAGCGACGCUUAUGCGUUGUUGGGUAGGGGAGCGUUCUGUAAGCCUGUGAAGGUGUGCUGUGAGGCAUGCUGGAGGUAUCAGAAGUGCGAAUGCUGACAUAAGUAACGAUAAAGCGGGUGAAAAGCCCGCUCGCCGGAAGACCAAGGGUUCCUGUCCAACGUUAAUCGGGGC